UGGGGAAUCUUGGACAAUGGGCGCAAGCCUGAUCCAGCGACGCCGCGUGGGUGAUGAAGGCCCUAGGGUUGUAAAGCCCUUUCGCCGGGGAGGAUGAUGACGUUACCCGGUAAAGAAGCACCGGCAAACUCCGUGCCAGCUGCCGCGGUAAGACGGAGGGUGCUAGCGUUGUUCGGAAUUACUGGGCGUAAAGGGUGCGUAGGCGGCGGACCACGUCGGGGGUGAAAGCCCGGGGCUCAACCUCGGAACAGCCUUCGAUACGGGUUCGCUCGAGGACGAGAGAGGGGAGUGGAAUACCCAGUGUAGAGGUGAAAUUCGUAGAUAUUGGGUGGAACACCGGUGGCGAAAGCGGCUCCCUGGCUCGAUCCUGACGCUGAGGCACGAAAGCGUGGGGAGCAAACAGGAUUAGAUACCCCCGUAGUCC
rnacentral:rRNA from 1 species